rnacentral:lncRNA from 1 species
GUUGGUCUAUAGUUGAAAGAAGGAUGUUGGAACAUGUGAUCGCAUACAUAUAAUACAUUGAUAACACCUUCUGUGGAGGAUUGCCUUCAGAGGUCCUACGCCAAAUUGAGAAGCUCUUUUAUAAAGGACUCUUCCCAGUUACUCGAUCCCCGACUGAAGAUUUAUGAACAUCAAAAUGGUGCGCCGUUUUUCUUACAGACAUUUUCCCCCAUUUUACAUUUUCUAAAGGUAAAUAUCUUCGUACUGGAGAUUUUGAUCAAUAUUUUCUCACCUCUUGAAUGUUUUAUCAUGAUUAUCGUCCAAUUGAAACGUAAAUCCUUUUUUCAGUAAAUUCCUCUAUACUGCUGUGUUUGAUGAAACAUUUGGUACGUAUUUGGC